GGCGAUUUCCUUAUGUUUAAACAUGGCACGUCGAACGGUAACACGGGAAGCUUGGUUCUCGCGGACGAGAGGGGGGCGGGUGAGUAUUGUAUGGGGAUCUGCGCGAUGGAGGGGGAGAACUACUGGAAACGGUGGCUCAUACCGCGCAAUCUCUCAAGAGCGAAGCAGGGGAGCUUCGGUCCUUGCGCUAUCGGAUGAACCCCUAUGGGAUUAUCUAGAAGGUGAGGUAUUGGCGCUCCUAGGCGACGAUCCCUAGCUGGGUGAGAGGAUGAUCAGCCACACUGGGACUGAGACACGGCCCCACUCCUACGGGAGGGGCAGUGGGGAAUUUUGGGCAAUGGGGGGAAACCCGAUUCCCCCCUGCCCCGUUGAUAAAAAAGGGCCUUGGGUUUUUAAAUUUUUUUUUUCCGGAGGAAGGGGUUAUCCCAAAUUCUGCAACCUUGGCGUUUCCCCCCAAAAAAACCCCGGUAAUUCCGUCCCCCCCCCCGGGAAAAC
rnacentral:rRNA from 1 species